CGGCAGAGUAGAGGCCAAGGGAGGGCUCUGUGCCAGCCCCGAUGAGGACGCUGCUGACCAUCUUGACUGUGGGAUCCCUGGCUGCUCACGCCCCUGAGGACCCCUCGGAUCUGCUCCAGCACGUGAAAUUCCAGAGCCCCACCUCCUAACACCAUGGAUUCAAAGUGCUCAGGGAAUUUGCCUCUCCUUGCCCCAUUCCUGGCCAGUUUCACAAUCUAGCUCGACAGAGCAUGAGGCCCCUGCCUCUUCUGUCAUUGUUCAAAGGUGGGAAGAGAGCCUGGAAAAGAACCAGGCCUGGAAAAGAACCAGAAGGAGGCUGGGCAGAACCAGAACAACCUGCACUUCUGCCAAGGCCAGGGCCAGCAGGACGGCAGGACUCUAGGGAGGGGUGUGGCCUGCAGCUCAUUCCCAGCCAGGGCAACUGCCUGACGUUGCACGAUUUCAGCUUCAUUCCUCUGAUAGAACAAAGCGAAAUGCAGGUCCACCAGGGAGGGAGACACACAAGCCUUUUCUGCAGGCAGGAGUUUCAGACCCUAUCCUGAGAAUGGGGUUUGAAAGGAAGGUGAGGGCUGUGGCCCCUGGACGGGUACAAUAACACACUGUACUGAUGUCACAACUUUGCAAGCUCUGCCUUGGGUUCAGCCCAUCUGGGCUCAAAUUCCAGCCUCACCACUCACAAGCUGUGUGACUUCAAACAAAUGAAAUCAGUGCCCAGAACCUCGGUUUCCUCAUCUGUAAUGUGGGGAUCAUAACACCUACCUCAUGGAGUUGUGGUGAAGAUGAAAUGAAGUCAUGUCUUUAAAGUGCUUAAUAGUGCCUGGUACAUGGGCAGUGCCCAAUAAACGGUAGCUAUUU
rnacentral:lncRNA from 1 species